GACGAACGCUGGCGGCGUGCUUAACACAUGCAAGUCGAACGGAAAGGCCCUGCUUGCAGGGUACUUGAGCGGCGAACGGGUGAGUAACACGUGGGCGACUUGCCCUGCAUUUUGGGAAACGUUCGGGAAACUGGGUUUAAUACCCGAUAGGACCGCACUUUAGCGUGCGUGGUGUGAAGAUUUUUCGGUGUCGGAUGAGCUCGCGGCCUAUUAGCUCGUUGGUGGGGUAAUGGCCUACCAAGGCGGCGACGGGUAGCUGCCCUGAGGGGGUGUACGGCCACAUUGGGUCUGAGAGACGGCCCGGACUCCUACGGGAGGCAGCAGUGGGGAAUAUUGCACAAUGGGCGCAGGCCUGAUGCAGCGACGCCGCGGGGGGGAGGAAGGCCUUCGGGUUGUAAGCUCCUUUCGCUAGGAACGAAGCUUUUUGUGGCGGUACCUAGAAGAGAAGCACCGGCUAACUACGUG
rnacentral:rRNA from 1 species